rnacentral:rRNA from 1 species
AUGGGAGGAGCCGAAGUGGGCCACCCCGACUCUGAUGGGGAUGGAAGCGCACCUCCAAGACCUCACGCGGUCUUCAACGUCCGAAGCACCAAUGACCCACCACCCGAGUCCGACGCCCUGGCAUCCAAAAGAAAUGUUGCACCCUCUGCAACUCACCUACACCACCAUCCAGGGCCGCCCCCCGACUUCCUCCGCCGUUGCAAACUCAAAGUCCCUGCAAAUUUUGCUAGUACUAACUUGUUAAACUUGAUCAGUCCUGAUCUUGAUGCUACUCAUCACAUGGCAAGUGGCGACACAUAA